rnacentral:rRNA from 1 species
CCGGCACGGGUGAGUAACACGUAUCCAACCUGCCGUCUACUCUUGGCCAGCCUUCUGAAAGGAAGAUUAAUCCAGGAUGGCAUCAUGAGUUCACAUGUCCGCAUGAUUAAAGGUAUUUUCCGGUAGACGAUGGGGAUGCGUUCCAUUAGAUAGUAGGCGGGGUAACGGCCCCACCAGUCAACGAUGGAUAGGGGUUCUGAGAGGAAGGUCCCCCACAUUGGAACUGAGACACGGUCCAA